ACACAUGCACGCACAGACACACAUGCACGCUCCAUUUACGUUACAUCUUCCUCUUUUUAUUCCCUCCUCACAUUCCUCUUUUGUUCUCUGUCUAUUAUUGUGGAUCAUUCCAUGAAGGGAAUGAAUUUUGUCUAAGCAAACUUUCCUUUACUCUCCUUUUUUUAAAUACUGGGCUAUUGCCGGGUUGCAUAGCUGUAUUUCUUCAAUAAAGAAAAACUUGUUUGGGUGAAGCCAAAUCACACCCAGCUCCCCCACCCUAUUCACAAGGGGCAUGUUUAACAUGUUGACUAUCAAAUAUUCAUAACUUGCCAAAUCACAGUGCUCCGCACACCUGAGCCUUCUGAUUAUUGCACAGUUUUGUGAUGAUUGUGGUGGUUCUUUGGUUGCAUGACCUUUGCUUAACUGUCACUGACAUAAUUUCAAACCUGCUUCGAUCAGGGCUGAAACAAAGCGUGGAUCCUGAGGUCACACACAGGCUGAAGAGCAGGUAGCAAACCCUUCUCCCUCAGCUCCAGUCCAGCAGUCCCGCAUCUCAUGAAGUCAAAAGCUCCCGGUCUGGAAGAAUAUGCCCAGCCCUAUCACCCUUCCCCUUCAGGGCAUCUCUUAAAUCAGCUUACCUGCUUACAGAAAAAGGCUGCGUUGCAUGCAUCAUUGUUGACUGUAUUGGACUGCAAACGGGAAAGUGAUUUGUAAUUUUAAAGUCUGACAACAGGUAAGACAGACAAGACACAAACGGCAUGGAGUUAAACUGUAUCCAGUUAUUAGUGUAAGAUGUUUAAAAAGUGAGUGAUAUGCAAAACUUAAAUAAUAAUUUCAUUUUCUCAUGUGCUCUGAUUAUAAACUGCAUUCCAGUGUAUGAUAUGCCAUUAACUGUGUGUAUUUUUUUCUUCUAAAUAAAGUGACAAUUUUCACUAUUUAUGCAGCAACAUGGAUUUUUAAUAAAAGCACUGUGAAAUCCUGUAUCGUGUGUCCUUAUUGAGUUUGCAUGUUUGAUAUUAGGAGAUAUCACAGAAGCUUUGGUAGUGACGUGUUAUAGAGAAUUAGGAAUUUAUGC